UCAAACUCACUGAACAUAUUGUUGAAAUAAUUAGGGAUAAAAUUUAGUAAUACAGUUAUUUCCUUUUUACACAGAGGAGGUCGGGGGGGUGGUUACAAAGAACUUGAUGAAGAGGAAAUAGAGGAAACUAGAAGACGCAGGCGGGAGGCUGAAGAAGAUGAUGGUGAACUAUAUGAUGAGUUUGGCAAUCUCAAGAAGAAAUUUCGUGCUAAAACACAACAAGCUGAACCUGGUCAGGCAGUUCCUGGUGCUGGGCGUGCAGGAUGGGAGGUUGAGGAACUAGGGGUGAGUGACAGAGAAAGAAGCAGAGACAGGGGAAGGGAGAGAGAUGAGAGGGGAAGCAGCAAGAAUCGAGAUCGAGAUGACAGGGAUAGGCGCCGGAGCAAAAGUCGAGAGAGAGACAGGGGAAAAGAUCGAGAACGAGACUACGAUUAUGGUCGAGACAGAGAAUAUGGGCGGGAUAGAGACCGUGAUCGGGACAGGAACAGGUAUCGUCAUUGACGAUGGUACCGAAGUGUCUGAGUAGUGUUUCAGUUUUCAAACAAUUCAAGUUUCCCAGAUGUUUUUGGGUGGUGUGUGUCUCGGGGGAGGGAUGGCGCUUGAUUUGAACCGCAGUCUGCGGUUGUCUUUAGUUUGGUUUCUCAGACUCUUCUUUCUGUAUUUCAUUUUUCUGGAUAGUUUGAUUGGUUUUGUCAUUCAAGGUUUCUUGUUAUCCGUAAUGCUAUAUUGUUGUUGCAGGCUUGGGAUGGAGAAGAGUAAUUUUGUUUUUUGUUUUUUGUUUUUUUAAGGGAACAAAUUUGGUGGUCUAUCUGUGUACAAAUUGAAUUGAUUCGACAUGCCUCCAUUAUUUAUUUCGGUGCAUUUUGCUA